GAUGAACGCUGACAGAAUGCUUAACACAUGCAAGUCUACUUGAACUUCGGUUUGGGUGGCGGACGGGUGAGUAACGCGUAAAGAACUUGCCUCACAGUUAGGGACAACAUUUGGAAACGAAUGCUAAUACUUGAUAUUAUGAUUUUAGGGCAUCCUAGGAUUAUGAAAGCUAUAUGUGCUGUGAGAGAGCUUUGCGUCCCAUUAGCUAGUUGGAGAGGUAACGGCUCACCAAGGCGAUGAUGGGUAGCCGGCCUGAGAGGGUGAACGGCCACAAGGGGACUGAGACACGGCCCUUACUCCUACGGGAGGCAGCAGUGGGGAAUAUUGGACAAUGGACCAAAAGUCUGAUCCAGCAAUUCUGUGUGCACGAUGACGUUUUUCGGAAUGUAAAGUGCUUUCAGUUGGGAAGAAAAAAAUGACGGUACCAACAGAAGAAGUGACGGCUAAAUACGUG
rnacentral:rRNA from 1 species